UACGAAGGGGGCUAGCGUUGUUCGGAAUUACUGGGCGUAAAGCGCACGUAGGCGGACAUUUAAGUCAGGGGUGAAAUCCCGGGGCUCAACCCCGGAACUGCCUUUGAUACUGGGUGUCUAGAGUCCGGAAGAGGUGAGCGGAAUUCCGAGCGUAGAGGUGAAAUUCGUAGAUAUUCGGAGGAACACCAGUGGCGAAGGCGGCUCACUGGUCCGGUACUGACGCUGAGGUGCGAAAGCGUGGGGAGCAAACAGG
rnacentral:rRNA from 1 species